rnacentral:lncRNA from 10 species
UUAGCCUCCAGGGACAACCCGGAAACCACAUUUCCCAGCGUGCCGAGCGCCUCUGCGCAGGCGCAAAGAGUUUCCCUCGUUGCCAUGGGAACCUCGCCCCUUCUAGAGUCCUGGCCGCUUGACUCAGCUAAGCGCGAAGGUGUUGUUUCUUCCUGAGGUGCGCUGGGGCUGGGACCCGGUCUGCAGAAGGUCCAGGGGAUGGCGUCGGGGGAUUGAGGAGAGGAGACCAAGCCGGCCUUGCCUCCGGGACCAGCGCUUCCAAAUUCUCUGGGGCGUCCCGGCGCGCACACGCUCCUGAGGCCUCGGCGUUCUGAGGAAAGGGGCUGGCGUGGCGACCCGGGUCCUCGAGGCCGAGAUCUGGCUGUGGCCCGCGAAGCCCCGCUUGCCCGCGCCAGCGUCUUGUCACCCCGAGCCGAGGGCCUGCGCGCGGCCGACAGAUAUGGGAUGCUGGAGGACAUCUGGGGGCCACAAAUGCUCCUUCUCCUGGAGACGCAACUCAAGUUCUCAUGGAGUUUUCAUUGUCUCGUGCAAUGCCAUCGACCUUGAAUUUCAGCAUAGGACCCAUAUGAAGUGCCACUGUUAAUGCUGGGAGCACUCCAGGAAGCAGAGAAAAGUUAUGACAUUUCAAGAAAAAUCUGAAUUGCUUGAUAUGUUCCACAGAUUGAGGUCUGUACCUAUGGUUGCC